AAAAACUUACAAUAUGACAUAAAAAUUAGAGCCUUCAAGCCCUUAACAAGAAUUAUGGACCUCUUAAUCUUUA
rnacentral:tRNA from 1 species